UACGAAGGUCCCAAGCGUUGUUCGGAAUCACUGGGCGUAAAGGGCGCGUAGGCGGCGUGGUAAGUCAGAUGUGAAAUCCCGGGGCUCAACCCCGGAACUGCAUCCGAUACUGCCAUGCUUGAGGGUUGGAGAGGUAGCUGGAAUUCUCGGUGUAGCAGUGAAAUGCGUGGAUAUCGAGAGGAACACUCGUGGCGAAGGCGAGCUACUGGACAACAUCUGACGCUGAGGCUCGAAGGCUAGGGGAGCAAAAGGG
rnacentral:rRNA from 1 species